GGCGGACGGGUGAGUAAUGCGUGAGCAACCUGCCCUUCAGAGGGGGACAACAGUUGGAAACGACUGCUAAUACCGCAUAAAGUAUUUAGAAGGCAUCUUUUGAAUACCAAAGAUUUAUCGCUGAAGGAUGGGCUCACGUCUGAUUAGCUAGUUGGUGAGGUAAUGGCUCACCAAGGCUGCGAUCAGUAGCCGGACUGAGAGGUUGGCCGGCCACAUUGGGACUGAGAUACGGCCCAGACUCCUACGGGAGGCAGCAGUGGGGAAUAUUGGGCAAUGGGCGAAAGCCUGACCCAGCAACGCCGCGUGAAGGAAGAAGGCUUUCGGGUUGUAAACUUCUUUUGGCAGGGACGAAAAAAAUGACGGUACCUGCAGAAUAAGCUCCGGCUAACUACGUGCCAGCAGCCGCGGUAAUACGUAGGGAGCAAGCGUUAUCCGGAUUUACUGGGUGUAAAGGGAGCGUAGGCGGGAAUGCAAGUCAGAUGUGAAAUCUGAGGGCUCAACCCUCAAACUGCAUUUGAAACUGCGUUUCUUGAGUGGUGGAGAGGCAAGUGGAAUUCCUAGUGUAGCGGUGAAAUGCGUAGAUAUUAGGAGGAA
rnacentral:rRNA from 1 species